AGUGCAAAAAUAGCAGAAAAGUGCAAUGUGAAAUACAAAGUAUAGACAGGUGGUGCACAGACAGGAUAAUAAAUAUAAUGCAGUGUCGACAGUAGUAUACAGUUGGUUUACAGAUGGUGGUUUAGAGUAAUAUAAAUUUAACAUAAAUAUGUGUAGUGUAUUAGCAGUUACCUUAUAAGAGCAGAAUAAUAAUGGCUAUGUAAUUUAAACAAUGUAUGAACAACAUGUACAGAUGUGUGCAAUUGUAAGAAUAUUAUAGC